rnacentral:rRNA from 1 species
UACGUAGGGUCCGAGCGUUAAUCGGAAUUACUGGGCGUAAAGCGUGCGCAGGCGGUCUUGUAAGCCAGAUGUGAAAGCCCCGGGCUCAACCUGGGAACUGCAUUUGGGACUGCAAGGCUGGAGUACGGCAGAGGGAGGUGGAAUUCCGACGUGUAGCAGUGAAAUGCGUAGAGAGUGUGGAGGAACACCGAUGGCGAAGGCAGCCUCCUGGGCUAGUACUGACGCUCAUGCACGAAAGCGUGAGGAGCAAACAGG